ACGUAAGGAACCUGCCCCUAUGCCUGGGAUAACUCUGGGAAACGAGAGCUAAUACCGGAUAGGUGAACGGAAGACAUCUUCGGUUCAUGAAAGAUGGGGAACAUCACAGAGGGAUGGCCUUACGGCGCAUUAGCUAGUUGGAGAGGUAGAGGCUCACCAAGGCGAUGAUGCGUAGCCGGCCUGAGAGGGUGAACGGCCACAUUGGGACUGAGACACGGCCCAGACUCCUACGGAAGGCAGCAG
rnacentral:rRNA from 1 species